rnacentral:rRNA from 1 species
UACGUAGGGCGCAAGCGUUGUCCGGAAUUAUUGGGCGUAAAGAGCUCGUAGGCGGUUUGUCGCGUCUGCUGUGAAAACCUAAGGCUCAACCUUGGGCUUGCAGUGGGUACGGGCAGACUAGAGUGCGGUAGGGGUGACUGGAAUUCCUGGUGUAGCGGUGGAAUGCUUAGAUAUCUGGAGGAACACCAGUGGCGAAGGCGGUGUUCUGGGCCUGUACUGACGCUAAAGCGCGAAAGCGUGGGGAGCGAACAGG